UCAAGCUGUUUUCGCUCCGGGACGAUCACACUUUUUCACAGCUCAGAUUGGCAUGUUGGUGAACUUAUUAGCUUAGAUUUCACGUUAUUCAUGCCUACAUGAGCUGCAUACAACUGCUCUAAUCGGUAGGAUGUGGACGGACAUUGCAUUCAUUCCCAUUCAGCCGUUGGACUGAACCUGUACUGUCUGUAACACAGUAUGGAUGGUCAAUAUGAAGCGAGCUUCAUUGAAUUCCUCCAAGAGCUCUGUACUCCGUUCAGACCAUUUUGAAGAUGGUUGCUUUGACAGGACUGGGCAAGUGACUCGUCUUAGACAGGAUGCUGUCCCAACCAUGUUUGAUUUCCUGCCUCGUCUUCAGAAGAAUUCACCCAAGCCUAGGAAUUCCCCGAAAGAAAGACGUUUUGAUUCAGCAAACAACCUCCCAGAUACUGCAAAGUCUUCAGCACCUUCAUUUCUCGAGGACCACUCCUACUCAAUAUCAGAAAGUCCAAGAGAGGUAAAGUGGAAGAUAACAGCAAUAAUGGACUGUAUUAAGAACUUGGAGAAGAGGCUGAAAACCACACACGAGAAGUCCCGCUGUGUACAUUACUUGCUCUUAAGUUUGGACAAACAUAACUUGCAAAACUUUACAACAAAUAAUUACCCCAAUGUGCAUUCUGAUUAUUUAAAAUAGCUCAAUGAAAUAGUUUAUCAGUGGGCAUGUAACAAAAGUGAAUUCAUUAAAUUUGAACGUGUUGCAAAAAUGAUGUCUUACAGUAUAUUCAUUCUGACUUAGAAUGUCAGAAGAGAAAAAAGUUUGUGAAAAGUAGGAAUGACGGCAAGAUGACAGAAGAAUAGAACAGGAUAGAGCAAGGGGGACAGAUAAAGGACAAGUCCACCCCAAAAAUUGUUGAUAUGAAUAAAAAGAGAAAAAUCCAACAAGCAUAACACUGAAAAUUUGAUAAAAAAUCGGAUGUAAAAUAAGAA